UACGGGGGGGGCAAGCGUUGUUCGGAAUUACUGGGCGUAAAGGGCUGGUAGGCGGCCAACUAAGUCGGAUGUGAAAUCCCCAGGCUUAACCUGGGAACUGCAUCCGAUACUGGUCGGCUUGAAUCCGGGAGAGGGAUGCAGAAUUCCAGGUGUAGCGGUGAAAUGCGUAGAUAUCAGGAGGAACACCUGCGGUGUAGACGGCUUACUGGACCAUCACUGACGCUGAGGCACGAAAGCGUGGGUAGCAAACAGG
rnacentral:rRNA from 1 species